rnacentral:misc_RNA from 1 species
AUAAUGAACAGAACCAGAAAUAAGUAUUCUUCUUUGUCCAUUUACAAUAAUAGCCCUAUGGUCAUAUGAAACAGAAGCUGUUCCAGAAAAAACCCAUGAACCCAACAACACCAACAACACAUUCAACAUUAGUAUAAGCGUACAACCCAUGUAAAAUUAUCUCCUUUUCUAUCAAGAUUGUGCCUUUUUAAGGCAAAAUGAAAACUUUUUCCCCCCCCCUUUAACUUUAUUUUUUUCUUCUUUUUCAAAAUGCAAAAAAAAUAAUGAACUUUAGCUAAUAGUAAAUGAGAGUGAG